GCAAUCGUGAAGGUCGCUUGA
rnacentral:siRNA from 1 species